rnacentral:pre_miRNA from 1 species
GAUUUUAACUGAAAAUGUCAUUAAUAGCAAAGUGGUAUAACUUAUCAAGGUCUAUAACUUUUAUUUGGGUUAUUUCUUCAUCAGACAAAAUGAUUUGUAACAUUGUUCACAAAAUGUACAUAUCUCUCAUAUAGCUUAUAAACUACACAAGAGAUAAGUACAUUUUGUGAACAAUGUUACAAAUCGCUUUGUCGGAUGAAGAAAUGACUAAAAUAAAAGUUAUAGAUAUUAAUGAGUUAUACAACUUUGUUGUUGAUGACAUUUUUAGUUGAAAUC